GAAUUUUCAUUUUUGGGUGAACUAUCUCUUUAAGAGCCACGAUCACAGAAAUCGCCACGAUUGUUUCACGAUGUCAAUCUUUCAUCUGGGACAGCCAAAAAUCGUGCACUGUAUCCCGGGCUUUAAGCUUGUAAAUACGAUAUUUCCGACAUGUCUUGAACGCACCAUGUUGUAGGCCUAUCACUGCAAUUCGGAAAAUAAAUGUCCUGUGAGUUGGCGAAAAAAUACUGUACCCUUUUCCAGAUAGUGAGCAAAAAACAAAUGUGAGAUAAAACAAAAACAAAACAAACAAAAAAAAAAACAUGCCGUUUUAGCUUCCUAUGAGGCUGUGAGCUUUUUUGGAGUGUCGUGACUCGUGUUUCACGGGCUCUCACCGCAUGGCAACGGCACGCUGUACCAGUUCCUCCACCUCAGUUCUCUCAGAUGCGCUGCUGCUGUGUUAUAAAACACUUUCUCCAAAGCUCAGUUUGUCUUCAAAUAUUUACCAGAUGUUCUUGCUAAAGAUGCUCUUUGGAUCAUCUAACAUCAUGCUGGAGAACUUAUUUAUCAGAUGAAUGAAGGUCUUACGGGUGUGAAACAACAUGAGGCACAAUACAUUUCCGGCUGUCUGCCUGCUGCCAUUGAUUUACAGAUGAGGAAAAUCGAAGCAUCCCAUGCUGUUUGCUCCUAAAGAGGAAACGCUGAGCUUUGUGACACAAACAAUGUCCUGCUGACAGAAUGGUGAUCGUUAUCUUUAAUUGAAGGCUGGCAUCAAGGGUAGCUGUAUUUAGGAGAAUCUCAAGUUAAGAACCGCAUGGAAACAAAGUUCGACAGCACACACUGAUGGUAAACCUGCCUGCCCAUGACUAAUCAGUCUCGUAUUCAUGCACAAUUGCACAAAUGUGUCUAAGAAAAUGCUUUUGUACUUGAGAAUGGAAAUGUGUAAAUUGCUGCCAUAUCAUUGUCUUAAAACUGAGCAGGCAACUUGCGUAAUAACUGUUAUAGAACUAAACUUUUUCUUACUGUUAACAGUCUAGUGAAAGUGUGAUUUUGGUUUGACACACACUGAAUGUGAGACCUGGUCUGGAGGUAAUAUUCUUCCCUAAUAUGUAGGGAUACACUGAAAUUUUGCCCACUACAGGGAAACUACCUCACAAAAUGAUACGCAUUUCAAUACAUAUGUUGUGAUUCAUGACUCCACUGUACUGUAUCACAAAAUCAUAAUUAGAUUUAAAGUUUGCUGUAUUAGUUUCAUCCAUAACAACAAUAAUGUUGUUAUUAUAUUGUAAUUUGUUAUUGAUCCAUGGCUUGGGGCCAAACCAAACAUGCUCUGCUGCAUGACUGCCUCGACCUUGAUGUUUUGGAAGGUGAUGUGGUGUUUGAGGACAACUUUUGUCAUUCAUCAUUAAUGUCUCAUCCCACUCUCACCAUCCCCCAGACAUGUUUGAAACAUUCAUCAGCCACGUUCGGCUCGGACACUAGCCCCUGUGAUUACCUGUGACCCUUGUGUCACUUACAAACUAUUCGUGUACACACACGGCAGGCAUCACAUCACCGACCAGCCCUGCACCAGGGCAGACGGCUUCAUUCAUAUGUAGUCCUGGCGUGUCACUCUUCAUGGGCCCCUGGCACAGACUAUAAAUCACACACGCUAAGAUGACAGGCCUCCACAAGACAUUUUUACAGCCAGAUCCUAAAUUUAUGCCCUCCUUCUUUGCAAUACCAGGGUCUUCAGAAACACUAUUAGGCAUCACAGAUAACGUGGCAGUGAGCAGGUCAAUAGCACAUUUACACUUUCUCUUCUUCCUUCAAUCUUUUUAGAUGUAUCCUCAUCACCCUAGAGGUGUUUUUAUGCUACUUUACACAUGAGAAUCAAUAAACUUCCUUCCUCUUUUAAAACCUGGUUUAUUUUUUUUGAAGAUGUGUGAUAAAAAGGUUUUUUUUUUUUUUUUACACUUACUGCUCUGUGGAGCAUGGAGUGCUUCCUCAAAUAAGGACUGUGAUUUUUGUACUGACAGCCAUGUUUGUACCUUUUACAUAUUGUAAGGACACAAUUUCAUUGAUUAUGCUGAGACCUGAUGUGAAACUCACUGUUUUAAAACAUUAUAAAAUUACAACAUUUUCAGCAUCAUUACUCCAGUCUUCAGUGUCACAUGAUCCUUCAGAAAUCAUUCUAAUAUGCUGAUUUGGUGCUCAAGAAUCAUUUCUUAUUAUCAAUGUUGAAAACAGUUGUGCUGCUUAAUAUUUUAUCUAUGAAUAAAAAGUUCAAAAGAGCAACAUUUUUAGUCUGGUCUGCCUCAGCGGUCUAACAACGCUCCUCAAUGUCAAAAUGAUUGAGACAGCCAAUCAAAUCAAAGUAGGCGGGGUUUACAUUCUCUUUUGGCUCGCGCACCGUCUUCACGCAGACAAGCACAUCAACCUUUCACGUAAUGCUCUUGUGGAGACUCUUGAUAUACAAUCAUUGAUGAACAUCUUCGAUUUUAAUGAGGAAAAAAAAACAAUGUAUACGAGGGCAGAUUAGAACCCGGAACCCGGAACCUGUGACGAGGUUAACAAAAAUUCUACCACCAGACCACCAGGGAAUUCAAAUACUAAUACAGGAUCUAUGUAUUUAUUCACUAACAUGAAGAAUCUCAGGACUAAUAAUAUAUUUAAUGCAAAUUAAUGCAAAUAGUUCCAAAAUGAUUAUUUCCCAAGUAGAAUUAGACCUAGAAUUUCCUUCACUGUUCUGUUUCUUUAUGCUUUAUAAAAAAAAUUUUUAUAUAUAUAUAAAGCUCAAGACAUGGUUACGGCCUUGCUGUGUGUGUGCGUAUAUAUAAGGCCCUGAUAUACUUAAAGGAUUAGUUCACAUUCAAAUGAAAAUCACCCCAACCUUUACUCACCCUCAAGCCAUAAUCUAGCUUCCGCCAGACCACCUUCCAUAUUCUACUUAUGAAGUAAGAGUAAAACUCUCGCAGUUCAAAAGUUCCGUUUUUUUUUUUUUGUAAUUUGGAUACAGAAGGUGGUCCAGCGGAAGCUAGAUAUUUUACUUCAUAACUUGUUAAAUAUGGAUUUUUUUUUUUUUUUUUUUUUUUUUUUU